GACGAACGCUGGCGGCGUGCUUAACACAUGCAAGUCGAACGAAGUGGCGAACGGGUGAGUAAUACGUGGGUAACCUGCCCUUCUUUUUGGGAUACUACUGGGAAACGGGGUCUAAUACCGAAUAAAGGGGGAUGGGCUGGCGGCCUAUCAGCUUGCUGGUGGGGUGAUGGCCUACCAAGGCGGUGACGGGUAGCCGGCCUGAGAGGGUGACCGGCCACACUGGGACUGAGACACGGCCCAGACUCCUACGGGAGGCAGCAGUAGGGAAUUUUGGGCAAUGGGCGAAAGCCUGAUCCAGCCAUGCCGCGUGUCUGAAGAAGGUCUUCGGGUUGUAAAGGACUUUUGUUAGGGAAGCGGUACCUAAAGAAAAAGCACCGGCUAACUACGUGCCAGCAGCCGCGGUAAUAC
rnacentral:rRNA from 1 species